rnacentral:rRNA from 1 species
UGGGGAAUAUUGGACAAUGGGCGAAAGCCUGAUCCAGCAAUGCCGCGUGGGUGAAGAAGGUCUUCGGAUUGUAAAGCCCUUUCGGCGGGGACGAUGAUGACGGUACCCGCAGAAGAAGCCCCGGCUAACUUCGUGCCAGCAGCCGCGGUAAUACGAAGGGGGCUAGCGUUGCUCGGAAUGACUGGGAGUAAAGGGCGCGUAGGCGGCGCACUUAGUCGGGCGUGAAAGUCCUGGGCUCAACCUGGGGACGGCGCUCGAUACGGGUGUGCUUGAUUUUGGAAGAGGGAUGUUGAAUUCCAAGUGUAUAGGUGAAAUUCGUAGAUAUUGGGAAGAACACCGGUGGCGAAGGCGGCAACCUGGUCCAUUACUGACGCUGAGGCGCGAAAGCGUGGGGAGCAAACA